CGCCUAAACUCACCGUUUUUCUUAGUGAGCAUGGUGCAAAAGCCAACCAAGGUACUGAGCUCGUCGUCAGAGCACCUUGGUUGGUCAUAUCUCGAAAGGGGUAUGGGUAGCCGAAAGGCUAUC
rnacentral:sRNA from 1 species